rnacentral:misc_RNA from 1 species
CAAAUAUCAGCUGAUUUCCGAAACGAUCCGCGUUGAGGGGAUUCCGGACAAGAAUUUCUUGGUUGAACCGAUAGUGAACAAACAUCUGUCCCGGUAAACGUAAACUCUAAUGAAGUGAUUAAGUGAAUACAUCGAUGUUAUAAUAACCCCUGAACAGCAGAGAGUCCUGGUACAUCCAAACUAAUGGACUGUGAAACAAAAUAACAGAAGACGCAAAAACAGUGCCAGCGGUAGCGAAGCAAACCUACCUUCAAAGCAACAUUGCAACAAAUUUCACGUAAUUCCAACCAGGAAUGAAUAACAACACUGAACCCAAUACACAAGAAAAAAUCCUCCUCUGGCUGAGAAGUACUACAUCAGAAGACACCUGAAGGUCUUACAAAGAUUAAGAAAAUAGAUAUCAUUAUACAAGGAACUAACUGAUAAGUAACACAAGAAAACCUUCAAACAACAGAAAGAAGAUUUCAGGAAACAAGAUCUAGGGAAUAUAGACAUAAAAAGUCUUAAACCCUAUGAUAGAAUAAAGAAGAGGAGAUUCCUUAUGAACGCCAUUAAAGGAAAAGAGAAAGAAAGAAGGAGGGAUAAAUUAUUUCUUAUGAAAACAUAUGAUAUCUAAUAAAAGUAGUGCUUGCUCUAAUUGACUAUUGGUUUUAGUGCUAGAAAUAAUGUUUAUAGCAUUGUACUGCAACUGCUUGUGGAUGCAAAAAAUUGAAACUGAUUAGUUUAUUGAGUUAGAAGAGCAGAUAGCUGUUUCAUUCAUAAAAGUGACUGUACAAGAAAGAAGUUAACUCAGAAAUCCUUUAUCAUUAACUCUGCUUGUGAACUCGAACCUGCUGAGGAAGUGAAAUUACAACUGUAAAAGUAAAAGAAACAUGGAAGAAUACUCAAGAACCAAUAUGUUUCCAUUACACAAUGCUGUUGCCUCAAGAAACUUUAAUGAAGUUCAGCGUCUACUGGCAGAUGGACAUGAUGUUAAUGAACUACAUUAUGACCGUGUCACACCACUUCACAUGGCAUGCUUGUCAGGAGAUUUGAAGACUACACAAUACCUUCUAGACAGGGGUGCAUGGGUUGAUGCACAGAGCAUAGACAACAGUACUCCCCUCUGUGAUGCAUGUGCUGGUGGCAGCCUAGAAUGUGUAAAGCUGUUGUUACAACAAGGUGCCUCAGUUAACCCGCCAUUACUGCUUUCUACACCUCUACAUGAAGCAGCACUGAGAGGACACACACAGAUUGUUGCACUGCUCAUUCAAGAGGGUGCCAGGUUGAAUUGUAAUGACCUUCACUAUGGAACACCGCUGCAUGCUGCUUGUUCGAUGCAGAGACCAUCCAUAAGCUGUAUUCACCAUUUGCUGAAAUCGGGUGCUUCUGUGAAUGCACUCAAGAACCACAAGACCCCACUCCACCUUAUUGCUAUGAAUAGCAAGAGUGAAGCAGCAACUGAACUGUUAAUAGCAUAUGGAGCUAAUGUGUACCUUAAAGAUUGCUCAGGCUGUACUCCACGAAAUCUUGCUGGGCCAAAUACUUCAAUGGAAGCCAUUCUUUCUGCAUUUGAAAGAGACCCAAGGCCACUGACACAAUGGUGUAGAUUAGCCAUCAGAUCACAGCUCGGCCCAAGAGGCAUUAAGCUGAUUGACCAAUUAGAAGCACCUACAAUUCUUACCAGAUUUCUUCAGUAAAAAAUAAUAAAGCAUAUCAUAUUUCAUAUUUAUGACAUGUGAAAAUAUAUUUUAUGAUUUCUAAUAUAUUUAAUUUCAAAUGUAACUUAUCUCAUAUUUCUGGCAUUUUGUGUUGAAGGGAAACAUGAGUCCCGUCAACCUAACAUAUUGUGUGUGUGUGUGAACCCUGUGUCCCCAGUUGUGUGAAAUUGAUAAGAGGGUUGAAAGAGGAAGCAUCAUUGCCUGGUGCUCCUCUUCAUAGUAUUAAGAAAUUUCUUCACUUUAAACUUGACAUUCAAAAUUAUCAGGAUAAAGAUAGAGAGAUUAGAAUUUUGAAUUGGCCCGAAAGCAUCCAGUAAGAAAAGACCACAGGAUUUAAAGAACCCGGAUCUAUGUGAUAGGUAAAGUUGAUCUAUGUGUAAGGGAUAGUGGAUCUAUGUGACAGGGAUAGUGGAUCUAUUGAUAUGAAUGUUACAAGUAGACAGAUGGCAUUAUUUGCAGUUAAUUUUCUUUUUGUUUAAAUCUUGUAGGAAAUAUUUCAGAAGCAAUGUUAAAUGAUUCAGAAGUAUUUUCACAGCAGGAUGUUAGGAAAAGCAAAAACAAAAGAAACAUGUUUAUUUAGAAAAGUAUUCCUUUAAUGACAGUUCCAUUGGUUGAAAAUUUGUUAGAAAGUCCUGUGAGUUCUAGAAAAAGACUUGAGGAAAGCGUAUAUUGCUAAAGAGGCAGCCGAAGCCUCAAGAACAUUACUUUUAAUGGAUCCACUGGCUAAAGAUCAUUGGGGCACAGUGGACACAGUGUAACACAAAAUUAAAGAUGCAAAGGAUCCAGUAAGUAAUUAUGAAAGACAAAAAAGUAUUUCUCUCACAAGAGUCAUAGGUCUCUAAAAUUCCAUGGUUCAAACAAAUAUACUUAAUUUAAGCGAGAUAAGCAAUUUACAGAAAGAUCACAGUGGACAGAUUGGUCAAAUUACCAUUUUCAAAUGACAACUGCAGCAUGUGCGUUUGACUGUAUCAAGGGGCAUUUAUGGCGUCGGUCGAUAUGAAGAAUAUAUUGGCACAUUCCAUUAUAUCGGAGGUUCAGAAAGUUCCUAGUUUUCCCAGUAAAUUCUCAAAUUUACAGAUUCAAGUUCCUUCCUUUUAGCCUAAGCAUAACCAGUUCACACACAUCCAACUUCACUAGGAUUCAACUUUUUUUUUUUUUUUUUUUUUUUGGACAAUUGGCUGAUUAUAGCAAAUUCAGUAGAGGACUGAACGUAGGCUCAGAGAUGGGUUUUCCUUUUAAUCUAAAAAAAAUCGGAAUUGCCUCCAACAAGAAUGUUGUCAUGAUUGGGUCUGGAAUGGAACUCGAAAGAUCAAAGUUACUGUCAAAAGAUAAUUGAAAGAAAGUUUGGGAAAAAGUUUCCGGGUCCAUCCAUACAAAGAGAAUGUCUCAAAGACGAUGGGAAAGCCUAAUUGGAUCCCUAAACUAUACAUCAGAGAUAGUGAAUCAAGGUCGUUUGCAUCUGAGGAGACAUAUCCUGGAAGGCAGAGCUUUGUUCUCAGCAAGGGACAAAGAUCAGAUUGACUUGUUUCCCCGAUGUUUAAACCUCUCAGAUGGUGGUUACAAGAUUGUCUACAUUCACUAAUACUUUGGGGUCUUCCAAAUCCAUCCUUAAUAAUCAUGACAGAUGCCUCAGAUUCGGGCUGGGGAUUCAAGACCUCAGAAUGGAAUCAAGGAUUUGGCAGAUGAACAAACCAAUGGUUAAAGAAAUAUAUAAACAUUAGAGAGUUAUAAAUAGUAAUAGUAAAAAUACAUCUGAAAAAUAUUCCUUAAGUAAUAAAUCAAACAAUUCACAUAUUGUCGGACAUACUGGCAAUACAUUGUAUCGGUCAUCAGGAUUCAUCCUGAACUCGCUCUUCUUCGAGUAUCGGAGUCUUUCCUAGAGUUGGCUUAUUGGGAAGGCUGUCAUCUUAAGGCAUCUCAUCUCACAAGAAAAGAAAACUUUUGGGCAGAAGCACUGUUCCGCAACGAACCAUUGGCAGUAAACUGGUCACUUAUAAACCAUGUGUUCCAGGACAUUGUGGGUCGAUAUGGUCACCCAGAAAUAGACGAAGUUGUUUAUCACCAGGUCCUAACCCACAAUAGCAGGGGGAUCAGACACAUUUAUGGUAGACUAGAACAGAAUAGGAGUAUAUUUACCUCUUCCCUCCACCACUAACAAAGAUAAUGCUCCAGGUGGUGUACUACCUAAAGACUUUCCAAUGUCAGGUAAUGCUAAUAGCUCCCCUAUGUAGAACCCAAUCUUGGGCCACAACACUCCACAACUGGUGUCCACACUCAAUUCCAUUGGGGAACAAGGUGACAGACUAUGGAUAGAUUCAAGCAAUAACAAACUCUGUAAUGCUUUGGACUUGUCUAAGAUUAUAUGCCGGGAAAUUGAAGAAGUGGUUCCUAAUUCAGUUUUUAAAGGUAAAUCGGGUCAGAAUCUGUCUUCAUUCCUAGCAUUUAUAAGAUCAUUUGCUUUAACUACAGUGCAAAAUCUGCGGUGGAUUCUUUUGUGAAUAGAUAUUGCACUAUGUAUAUACCAAAUACUCCAUGUGUUGCAAUGACCACACAUAAGUAUUAAGCUAAAAUGGAUUGGUUUGUAUUAAGUAAUACGGAAAAAGUGUAUAAUUGAAUAAAAGUUGGAGGGUAUAAA